UACAGAGGUCUCAACCGUGGUUCGGAUUCAUUGGGCGUAAAGGGUGCGUCGGCGGUGUGGCAAGUCGGGAGUGAAAUCUCUGGGCUCAACUCAGAGACUGCUUCCGAAACUGCUGUGCUGGAGUGUGGGAGAGGCGCGUGGAAUUGCAGGUGUAGCGGUGAAAUGCGUAGAUAUCUGCAGGAACACCCGUGGCGAAAGCGGCGCGCUGGACCACUACUGACGCUGAGGAACGAAAGCUAGGGGAGCAAACAGG
rnacentral:rRNA from 1 species